rnacentral:tRNA from 1 species
AGUAAUAUGUCUGAAUUAAAGUAAUAAAUUGUAAAUUUAUUUAUAGAAUGUUAAUAUUCUUGUUACU